AUUGAACGCUGGCGGCAUGCCUUACACAUGCAAGUCGAACGGUAACAGGUCUUCGGACGCUGACGAGUGGCGAACGGGUGAGUAAUACAUCGGAACGUGCCCAGUCGUGGGGGAUAACUACUCGAAAGAGUAGCUAAUACCGCAUACGAUCUGAGGAUGAAAGCGGGGGACCUUCGGGCCUCGCGCGAUUGGAGCGGCCGAUGGCAGAUUAGGUAGUUGGUGGGAUAAAAGCUUACCAAGCCGACGAUCUGUAGCUGGUCUGAGAGGACGACCAGCCACACUGGGACUGGGCCACGGCCCAGACUCCUACGGGAGGCAGCAGUGGGGAAUUUUGGACAAUGGGCGAAAGCCUGAUCCAGCAAUGCCGCGUGCAGGAUGAAGGCCUUCGGGUUGUAAACUGCUUUUGUACGGAACGAAAAAGUCUCCUCUAAUACAGGAGGCCCAUGACGGUACCGUAAGAAUAAGCACCGGCUAACUACGUGCCAGCCGCCGCAGUAA
rnacentral:rRNA from 1 species